CUCUAUCGGGAAAGCUGCCUCCGCCGGCUGGCCUUAGGAAGUCUCUCCUCAGGUUUCCCUGAGGAAAACCAGUUAACUCAGCCCUGACCAAGGAGCCGGCCUGAGGUCUAGAAGGGAAGGUAGCAAAUGGUCGAGUCAAGAGAGCAACCCACACUAACAACAUACUAACGAUUCUACUGUCGCUUGAAUCCCCUGAGUGCGGGAAAUUAGCUACUGUAGAUGGGGCUGAUUUUGGGAAACAGCCUAAAGGUGAGAACACAGUGAGAAGGCAGCUGUCUACAAGCCUGAAAGAAAGCCCUCAGCAGAACCUGACCAUGCUGGCACCCUAAUUUGGACUUUCCAGCCUCCAGAAUGAGUCUUACCCAGAGAGAUGCAAUUGAAGCCCAAGGCAAAGGGCGGUGUAUCUCCAAGCUGAAU